rnacentral:rRNA from 1 species
CACGUAGUUAGCCGUGACUUAUUCUCAGGGUACCGUCCGCUCUCUUCCCCUGCAAAAGAAGUUUACAACCCAAGGGCCUUCAUCCUUCACGCGGCGUUGCUGGGUCAGGCUUGCGCCCAUUGCCCAAUAUUCCUCACUGCUGCCCCCCGUAGGAGUCGGGACCGUCUCUCAGUUCCCGUGUGGCUGAUCGUCCUCUCAGACCAGCUAUCGAUCAUCGGCUUGGUGAGCCGUUACCUCACCAACUACCUAAUCGACCGCAGGCCCCUCUCGUAGCACUAAAGCUUUACCUAAUAGAAUCCACUCCUAUUAGGACCAUGCGGUAUUAGCCACAGUUUCCCAUGGUUAUCCCCCAUACAAGGCAGGUCACCCACGUGUUACUCACCCGUCCGCCACUUUCAGAUACAUUGCUGCAUCCUCACGUUCGACUUGCAUGUGUUAAGCACGCCGCCAGCGUUCAUCCUGAGCCAGGAUCAAACUCU